CCGUUGCAAAUUGCGAUAAGUGGUGUGAUAUGCGAGUCCAAAACUUAUACGUGAACCAUCGAAUUGUUGAACGCAUUGCAUCGAGCUUUGCCCAAGCACGAUAUGCCCCAUUGAGCGUCAUUAUAUCUUUGGAUUUUAAUCCAAGUUCGGGAUUCAUGGUCUUUGACCACGCUUCCUUGGAUGCAUCAGUGCCAGACAGAGUGAUACUCCCUUGUCGUAAACUUCAAGGUGUUCACGCCCAUCCCGGCCUGCAGACCAACCUCGGUUGGUCAACAUGAGGGCGUCUUCUAUGGCCACCUCUUCCAAACAUGAUCUCAAGGGGGCAAGACAACCCGCUAGACUUAAGCAUAUUAAUCAGCGGAGGAAAAGAAACUAACAAGGAUUCCCCUAGUAACUGCGAGUGAAGAGGGAUCAGCUCAACGUGUGAAUCUGACUUGGUCUAACACCUUGUCCGACUUGUGCACUAUUGACACUGGCUCAGCGUAUGAAUGCUAAAGGCGGAUGUCCGAUGAAACACGGCACCAUAGUGGGUCACAGUCCUAUACAUGCCUAUUGGUGUUUAC
rnacentral:rRNA from 1 species